AUGGACUUUACUCAACUUUUUUUUUUUUUUUUUUUUUUUUUUUUUUUUUUUUUUUUUUUUUUUUUUUUUUUUUUUUUUUUUUUUUUUUUUUUUUUUUUUUUUUUUUUUUUUUUUUUUUUUUUUUUUUUUUUUUUUUUUUUUUUUUUUUUUUUUUUUUUUUUUUUUUUUUUUUUUUUUUUUUUUUUUUUUUUUUUUUUUUUUUUUUUUUUUUUUUUUUUUUUUUUUUUUUUUUUUUUUUUUUUUUUUUUUUUUUUUUUUUUUUUUUUUUUUUUUUUUUUUUUUUUUUUUUUUUUUUUUUUUUUUUUUUUUUUUUUUUUUUUUUUUUUUUUUUUUUUUUUUUUUUUUUUUUUUUUUUUUUUUUUUUUUUUUUUUUUUUUUUUUUUUUUUUUUUUUUUUUUUUUUUUUUUUUUUUUUUUUUUUUUUUUUUUUUUUUUUUUUUUUUUUUUUUUUUUUUUUUUUUUUUUUUUUUUUUUUUUUUUUUUUUUUUUUUUUUUUUUUUUUUUUUUUUUUUUUUUUUUUUUUUUUUUUUUUUUUUUUUUUUUUUUUUUUUUUUUUUUUUUUUUUUUUUUUUUUUUUUUUUUUUUUUUUUUUUUUUUUUUUUUUUUUUUUUUUUUUUUUUUUUUUUUUUUUUUUUUUUUUUUUUUUUUUUUUUUUUUUUUUUUUUUUUUUUUUUUUUUUUUUUUUUUUUUUUUUUUUUUUUUUUUUUUUUUUUUUUUUUUUUUUUUUUUUUUUUUUUUUUUUUUUUUUUUUUUUUUUUUUUUUUUUUUUUUUUUUUUUUUUUUUUUUUUUUUUUUUUUUUUUUUUUUUUUUUUUUUUUUUUUUUUUUUUUUUUUUUUUUUUUUUUUUUUUUUUUUUUUUUUUUUUUUUUUUUUUUUUUUUUUUUUUUUUUUUUUUUUUUUUUUUUUUUUUUUUUUUUUUUUUUUUUUUUUUUUUUUUUUUUUUUUUUUUUUUUUUUUUUUUUUUUUUUUUUUUUUUUUUUUUUUUUUUUUUUUUUUUUUUUUUUUUUUUUUUUUUUUUUUUUUUUUUUUUUUUUUUUUUUUUUUUUUUUUUUUUUUUUUUUUUUUUUUUUUUUUUUUUUUUUUUUUUUUUUUUUUUUUUUUUUUUUUUUUUUUUUUUUUUUUUUUUUUUUUUUUUUUUUUUUUUUUUUUUUUUUUUUUUUUUUUUUUUUUUUUUUUUUUUUUUUUUUUUUUUUUUUUUUUUUUUUUUUUUUUUUUUUUUUUUUUUUUUUUUUUUUUUUUUUUUUUUUUUUUUUUUUUUUUUUUUUUUUUUUUUUUUUUUUUUUUUUUUUUUUUUUUUUUUUUUUUUUUUUUUUUUUUUUUUUUUUUUUUUUUUUUUUUUUUUUUUUUUUUUUUUUUUUUUUUUUUUUUUUUUUUUUUUUUUUUUUUUUUUUUUUUUUUUUUUUGUAGGAAAUUUACAAAAUAUCUUCAUGGAACAUGA
rnacentral:lncRNA from 12 species